AGUUAUGUUGCCAGCAAAAGCUUGGACCCUCUUGCCUAGCUGCAAAUAAUUGGUUUAAUGACACUUAGCCCGUCUAUUUCCAAAAACCUUUCAGCAGUCGUCACAAUGGAUGGUCCCAAAAGAACUGGCACCCUGCUAGCAGCAACCCACCCCAGUGAUAGCAACAAGAUCAGUAUCCACUGAGGAAAAUCUUCCUCAGGUGCUUGACAGACACCACCAAUCUCCAGUCUCCUGACUGCACUGACUGCUUCCUUUCUACCUAAACUGAGAAACCCAAGAAACCCAGAUGAGAAAGACAAGUGGAGCACAUUGAGAAUGAAUCUGCACAUGUUUAGAAAGCAUUCAGAUUCUAUGCUGAAUGAGUGCUGCAAAACUACCAGCAUUUAUACACAGCACAGUCCAUACUAUCAGCAAACAUAAUUUUAAUAGUACCACAGCAGCAGAACAUUUACAGAUUCUCUUUAAAAUGUGGAUCUUCAACUUCUACAUUCAGUGCAAGAUAAACACCACAGUAAGUAGAAGAGACCAUCAAGUCCCAUGGGUCAAUCAGCUGAGGAAACUUGAUUCCCAGGACAGCACCAGACUGCAAAUACAGGCCAUGAUAAAAAUGAUUGUCACAACUAUACAGCACGAAGAGAUGGAAGCUAUUUCUGACCCUUUUUCAUUGCAAAGACUAAUUAAUGGAAUCUUCCAACUGACAGCAGUCCAGUUUUAACAAAUGCAUGUGCACGAGUUCAAUGGCAGCUGGAUUUUCAGAGGUGCUGAAAGGAAGCUAUAAAGCACAUCAGUCUGGAAAAUCAGAUGAACUGGUAUGUAAAUUCAAAGUUUCAAUAAAUGGUAGAGCAAUUUUAUAGGAAGGGAUGUACUUAUAGAUGCGUCAUCUCUCAUUCACUCCCAAGUCCAGUUUUAAAAAUUGCUAAGCAUUUGUUUAAUGC